AGACGGAGGGGGCUAGCGUUAUUCGGAAUCACUGGGCGUAAAGCGCGCGCAGGCGGCUAUUUAAGUUGGAUGUGAAAGCCUACGGCUCAACCGUAGAACUGCAUCCAAAACUAUUUAGCUAGAGUGUGGGAGAGGAAGAUGGAAUUAGUUGUGUAGGGGUAAAAUCCGUAGAGAUAACUAGGAAUACCAAAAGCGAAGGCAAUCUUCUGGAACACUACUGACGCUGAGGCGCGAAAGCGUGGGGAGCAAACAGGAUUAGAAACCCUAGUAGUCC
rnacentral:rRNA from 1 species